AAUCUUUGCCCCUAAUGUGGUUCCUUAUUGGUUACCACUCAUCUCAUUCAUUGUUUUCUUUAGAUUACUUUCCACUACAUACUAAUUUUGGCGCCUGCUGUGUUUAUAUUGGCUGGGUUGUUAGAGAAGGCUGUUGAAGCUUUUGUCCAGUAAGGUUUGAUGCUUUUUGUCUCGGUUUAAUUUCAUACAUUUACUCUUUGGGCAUUCAAUAGAUGAAGGAUAUCUUUGUGAUGUGUCACAUUUAGGAUGGAUGCAAAUUUCAACUCGUGACAUGCUAGUAUGUAAACUAUCAAUAUUAUUUCUGGAACAUAAUUUAUUGCUAGAGGAGUUCAGAUAGGUAUGGUAUCUAUCCUGUUGCCUGUUAACUACUGAUGCUGCUGAAUCUUAAAGAGGGUUAAUUAAACAUGUUAAGCUGCUGGGUUUUGAAGUUUGGCACAGCUUCAUCUCUUUGUGGUUUUCUUUGCUUCUGUUGUAAGAGGUGGAACGAAGUUUUGAAGUUUUCAGUUCGUAUCAUUGAUACGUGGGAAGCUGCUUUUUGGUAUGGUUGUUCUUUCAGUGUGGAGCAUUUUGAAUGUGGAGCCUGGUGAAAUCUCUUUUUAACUUUGAUUGUGUCUUUUCAACUUGAUAGCGUGCAUGAUGGAAUAUAGUUUUAUAGUGCGUGAUCAUGGUGCAUCUUUUUGGUUGCCUGUGGAGUUGGUUGUUGUAUAUUAGUGAAACAGUGGCAUAAUUCUUCCUUUGGUGAUAUGUCUUCUUGUUGUCCAAAGUGUUGGUUGAUGUACUGUCUGUACUUGUCAAGUGUCGGAAGAACUUGUGAAAUGAUGACCGGUUGAUGUUGUGGUUUCAUUACUGAAGAAUUGGCUUGGAUUGGUGUUGGUUUAUGGUGUCACAACAAGGGGAUCGUGUUUGUACUUGGUGAUGUUGUGCAUGUGGUUGUGUAAUUUUCCAAUUGAUGGCUUGUUAGCUGCAUUACUCUUCCAGUUUUCUUCUCAUUGGUUCCCUUUACACUGUUUUGUAAUCGAUGGAGUUGGUUUCUUUGGGGGGUGGAUUGUCUUCGUGCCGAAUUUGUUGAAUUGGUUCUGGCUUAGACAGGAGUUCUUCUAUGUAAUGAUGUGCAUCUCGUUAGGUUUUGUAGGAUAUGUAUGGUUUUGUAGGAUAUGUAUCUACAAGUAGGGAUUGGUUUGCAUGUUGAAAGUAACAAAUGGAAAACUAUAAUUGGUGACCAACAUGCAUUAGUAGGAUAACUAGGAAUUAGGCAUUUAGGUUAGGUUAAUGGGAUGUAGCUCAAAUAUGGCAGAGCUCUCAGGCUUGUAACUUGCAUAUGCAAGUCUCAAGAUCUUGAGAAGA